UAACCUUUUGCAACAAUACCCUU
rnacentral:snRNA from 1 species